UAUUUUGUGUGGAGGCCAAGAUCAACAGAAGGAAUAAUAGGUAUAUUUCCCGCUACCCAGAGAAUGUCCCAAUCAUAGGAAGGACUAAGUUUCGAGCCUCAGCACACGCCCUCCUUUUUGUUUUCAGCGAGGGUGAUGUCAUGAACCCGUACUCCUUUGUCCACGGGCAAAAAAUUACCAAGGACGUCUACUUGCAUCUUCCGCGGAACUAGUGGCUUCUAUAAAGCCAUAUAUCUUCCAGCAGGAUGGGGGUUCCGACCCAUACAUACCAUCUUGUCCAAAAUUGGUAUUCAGACAAUUUGGACAUUAGGGAAAAUGAAAUGUUCACCCCUUGCAGGCUUCAAUUCUCAAGGCAGUAACACAAAUGGACAAAGAGUUUCUCAUGAAAGCCUUUGGCAGGAUCAUCGUCAGGUUGAAGGCUAUGGUUGAAGGUGGAGGUGGCUGAUUUGAGUGAUUUACUUCACUAUGGACGACUCCCUCAUCGUAUUCUUUUGAUUUGAUCAAACUCGGACGAAAAAUGAGUGAAGAGGAAUAAAAAACGCAAAGAAUUUCGGAUUUUCUCGACGCAGAUCCCAAAAAGAAUUUCAGAUAAUGUCGGCGGGACCAAGAGGACAGUCCAGGACAACAGGGUAGCAAAGAAAAUUCGAUAGUAGUCAAAA
rnacentral:lncRNA from 1 species